rnacentral:rRNA from 1 species
CUAACCUGCUAAAUAGUACGGUUGCAAUUGUUAUGUGGACCUCUGUCCUUGUGCCUCUUGGUGCAGGGACGGAACCACAUAAGCAGGUGAAACUUCUUAGAGGAACUGGCGCCCGAAAAGGCGCACGAGAAAGAGCAAUAACAGGUCUGUGAUGCCCUAAGAUGUCCGGGGCCGCACGCGUGCUACAAUGACGAUGCUACUGAGCAUGAUUAACUUGUCCGAAAGGAUUGGUGAAACUGUUCAAUCAUCGUCGUGACUGGGAUUGAGGUUUGCAAUUAUCCCUCAUGAACCAGGAAUUCCUAGUAAGCACAAGUCAUAAGCUUGUGCUGAUUACGUCCCUGCCCUUUGUACACACCGCCCGUCGCUACUACCGAUUGAAUGGUUUAGCAAGGACAUUGGAUUGAGCCUUUGCGGUUCACGCUGCUUUGGUUUGAGAAGAUGUCCGAACUUGAUCAUUUAGAGGAAGUAAAAGUCGUAACAAGGUUUCCGUAGGUGAACCUGCGGAAGGAUCAUUA